rnacentral:rRNA from 1 species
AUAACGUAGCGAAAGUUACGCUAAUACCGCAUAUUCUGUGCGCAGGAAAGCAGGGGAUCGCAAGACCUUGCGCUGAUUGAGCGGCCGAUAUCAGAUUAGCUAGUUGGUGAGGUAAAAGGGCUCACCAAGGCGACGAUCUGUAGCGGGGUCUGAGAGGAUGAUCCGCCACACUGGAACUGAGACACGGUCCAGACUCCUACGGGAGGCAGCAGUGGGGAAUUUUGGACAAUGGGGGCAACCCUGAUCCAGCCAUGCCGCGUGAGUGAAGAAGGCCUUCGGGUUGUAAAGCUCUUUCGGCCGGGAAGAAAUCGUAUCAGCUAAUACCUGGUGCGGAUGACGGUACCGGCAUAAGAAGCACCGGCUAACUACGUGCCAGCAGCCGCGGUAAUACGUAGGGUGCGAGCGUUAAUCGGAAUUACUGGGCGUAAAGCGUGCGCAGGCGGUUUUGUAAGACAGGCGUGAAAUCCCCCGGGCUCAACCUGGGAACUGCGUUUGUGACUGCAA